UCUGCCGGCGUGUGUGAGGGCAGCUGCCCCGUUACCUUCCGGGAGCACGCCCCGAACGCGGCGAGGCGGGGGGGAAGGCGUCCCUUUCCUGCGGAAGGCCUGCUGAAAUGGCGGCGGGAAAGCGUCCUCCUCGGUCCCGAGUCCGGCCCUCACCGCGCCCCGGGUCGGCCGGGGUGGGAGGGGGUGGCUGGUGGUCUGGCCUGGCUGCUGUUCCCGGUGGAAAGGGACCCCUGGGUGACUCAAAGUGCCCAGAUAAAGGUCCUAAAGGGCGGAUGGUGGCCUGAAAGCGGUUGUGUGUUUAUUAUAGAUCGGAGCACGCGCCUCAGAAACAUGGGGUGCCUGUAGAUGCUUCGAGUGGGUAGAGCGAGGCUCCGGAGAGAUACACCUCGUCUCCCCGAGACGUGUCUGCUCGGGCUGUAGAGCGCACAUCCCGAGGAAAGGCCCGGCUCACGAAGAUGUUAACAACGAGUUAGUUACCUGGGAAUUGUCCUGGAGGAGAUCGGAACGGCAUUCACUUCAGGAAGCAGGGCCAUGUCAUGGGGACUGUUGCACGGAGGAGGAGUAUAAGCCGUUCUGAGGCUGACAGCAUCACAUGCAGAAGCGUUCAUUUGCGCAUCACAUGAAAAACUUAAUGGAGAAGCCUUGCCUUCUAUGAAAAGGAAUACAAAUUGUCUGCAUCAAGUUGUAAAAAGGAAACAUUUUUUACAGAGAU